UCCUCCGGACUGAGAUCCGGUGCCUUGACACACAAAAGGCACAUGUGAAUAGUGCAAUGCCUUGAGCUUUCAGCCGCUAGAUCGGAAAUCAAGGUUCCAGAUUUCAGUGAACAGUACUCCGCGCUACAAUGUGUUAGUCAUGUAGCGAUUGUCCUGUAGCAGACUUCCUGUAGCGAUGCACUGUAGCAGACUUCUCGAUGUUCAUCGGACCGUUGCUUGUAGAUCCAACGGUCAGGAGAUGCCCUCAAGGCACAAUACUGUUCAUCCGUGCCUUGUGUGUGUCAAGGCACCGGAUGUCAGUCCGCUUCCUCCACCUCCAGUCUUCUGGAGCACCAAAGCCACCACGCGAGGCCCCACCAUCCUCACGGAGAUGAGCCCGACGGACCGGAUCCAGCCUCCUCCACCGGGAGCGGCGACAACCUCCACCGAGAUCUGCGUGGGGAGGCCGGAGUUCUCGACGGGCAGGAGCACUCGCCGACGUGCUCCUUCUCCUCGUCUGUCACCUCCGUCGAGAGCCGCGUGACUGUCGGCUUCGAGGGCGCGGUUGCAGCCCAUCCAUGGUGUUCGUCUAGUCCCUUGCGACGGACACCACCAAGUCGGCGAGCGUGGGAUCCACAAGACACCAUGGACUCCCCGUCACAGUCCUGGUGGACCGAUGGAUGAGGCAGCUAGCCCGAGGCGAGCUGGACGAUGUUCCACCAUGGUGUAGACAGCCAACACGCGUGUAGACAGCGCCGUUUCACCAUGGUGUUCGUCGCCGCCGUCAAUGGCCUUCGGCCUCGAUCUGCAUGUUGGCUGGAUACGGCGUGGUGGGGAGGAGGUGAGCUGGUCGUGGUGGGGAGGAGGAGCAGCUGUGGCAAGGAGAGAUUGCCACUGGGAAUGCAAACCGCAAUGGAAUCCAUCCGCAUCGACGUUGUUGAAAUAGAAGUUGGCCCUGCGACAAAAGCACAUCCACGGACCAUGGCGAAAUUUUGCAGACGCUAAACCAGGAGAGUUAUAGCUUUUUUUGUCUAAACUUCUCUCUUUUAUGUUCACGAGACUGGAUGCUAAAUUGUAGAUCUAAUUGUUUUUGUUUUUUCAGAACGCUUACAUCUAAUUGUUUGUACAGGACUUUGCAACUCACCUAACCGAACUUUGAUAUUUACAAUAUUCGAAAACACUUUUAACUUCUGAAA